AACGAACGCUGGCGGCGCGCCUAAUACAUGCAAGUCGAACGAGAAGCUGUAGCAAUACAGUUGUACAGUGGCGAACGGGUGAGGGAUACAUGGGUGACCUACCCUCGAGUGGGGAAUAACCAGCCGAAAGGUUGGCUAAUACCGCGUACGCUUCCCAGUCUACGGGUUGGGAAGGAAAGCGAUGCCGUGGGUAUCGCGCUCAAGGUUGGGCUCAUGUCCUAUCAGCNGUUGGUGGGGUAACGGCUCACCAAGGCAACGACGGGUAGCUGUCGUGAGAGGACGAUCAGCCACACUGGCGACUGCGACACGGGCCGAG
rnacentral:rRNA from 1 species